GACGAACGCUGGCGGCGUGCUUAACACAUGCAAGUCGAACGGACAGGCCCUGCUCUUGUGGGGCUCUCGAUUGGCGAACGGGUGAGUAACACGUGAGUAUCCUGCCCUUGUCUUUCUGCUAUCUCUAGGAAACUGGGGCUCAUAUCGGAUAUAACCUCUUGCUCCAUGUGGGGGGUUGGUAAGAUGCGGCGUUUGGGGAUGGACUCGCGGCUUACUAGCUUGUUGGUGGGGUAGUGGCUUACCAAGGCUUUGACGGGUAGCCGGCCUGAGAGGGUGACCAGCCACAUUGGGACUGAGAUACGGACCAGACUCCUACGGGAGGCAGCGGUGGGGAAUAUUGCACAAUGGGCGGGAGCCUGAUGCAACAACGCCGCGUGCGGGAUGACGGCCUUCGGGUUGUAAACCGCUUUGGACUGUGACGAAGCGUGAGUGACGGUAAUGGGUAAAGAAGCAACGGCUAACUACGUG
rnacentral:rRNA from 1 species